rnacentral:tRNA from 1 species
CAACCUAUACAAAGGCGGUAAAACGGACUUCUAAUCCGUGGGCCGGGGGUUCGAAUCCCUCCUGGGAGGCCA